AAGUCCCUAGAACGUUUUUUAAUGAGCCCCACUCUUAGGCCCCAUCCUAAGAGUUUUAUUCGGAAAAUCCUUACAAUUACUAUCGAGAAUCAAGAGAAAAGUUGGAAUACUAAAUAUGAUAAACGAGGAGUGAAACAUGAAAAGAAUCGAGAAAAUAUCGAACCUAUGAACAAAUAAAAUACAUUAAAAAUACAUUAAAAAUACAUUAAAAAUAAUUAUUACACGCCUGCGAUGCUAAGUAUAAUUUGCACUGAUCCAUGGUAUCUAUGAAAACACGAAAGUGCAUAGCAAUGAUUUUUCUCACGAGAGAUAGCGAUGCAAUAUUAAAGUAAUAAACAUAUUAAAAUAC
rnacentral:lncRNA from 1 species